rnacentral:rRNA from 1 species
CAUAUGCUGAUCUUACAGAAUAAGCCAUGCAAGUGUAAGUUCAUGCUCUCUUAUGAGCGAAACCGCGAGCGGCUCACUAAAUCUGAUAUAACUUACUUGGUACUCUUUGAUGACGGUGGAUAACUGUUGUAAGUCUAGAGCUAAUACAUGCGUAAAGCCUUUCGAGGUGCAAUUAUUGGUUUUUGUUGACUCUGGGUAACCUUGCUGAUCUCUAGUAAGUCUAGAGACAUACCAAUUAGAUGUCCGCCCCAUCAAUUGUUGACGGUAAGGUAGUGGCUUACCGUGGUUACAACGGGUAACGGGGAAUCAGGGUUCGAUUCCGGAGAGGGAGCAUGAGAAAUGGCUGCCAGAUCUAUGGAUUGCAGCAGGUGCGUAAAUUAUCCACUUUUGGCAUAAAGAGAUAGUGAUCAUAAAUAACGGAUCCGGGCAUUAGCCUGGAGAUCGUAAUGAAAUAACUGUAAAUGCUUUACUUAAAGCAAUUGGAGGGCAAGUCUGGUGCCAGCAGCCGCGGUAAUUCCAGUUCCAAUAGUGUAUACUAAAGUUGCUGCAGUUGAAAAGCUCGUAGUUGGAUCUCGGUUUACUUGUGUGUCGAGGCACGCAUGUGUACCUAAGCUGUGUCGUUGACAUGGUGUUACCUUGAAUAAAUCAGAGUGCUUAAAGCAAGCAGUAUGCUUGAAUGUCUCAGCAUGGAAUAAUAGAAUACGGCUUUUCUAUUGGUUUUCCAGUGGCAAAGCAAUGAUUAACAGAGACAGACGGGGGCAUUCGUAUUGCACCGUUAGAGGUGAAAUUCGUAGAUCGGUGCAGGACGAACUAUAGCGAAAGCAUUUGCCAAGAAUGUUUUCAUUAAUCAAGAACGAAAGUUGGAGUAUCGAAGUCGAUUAGAUCUCGUCGUAGUUCCAACUAUAAACGAUGCCAACUAGCACUCCGCCAGUAAUACGUUGUUGCACUGGUGUGUGGCUUCCGGGAAACCAAAGUCUUUGGGCUCCGGGGGAAGUAUGGUUGCAAAGCUGAAACUUAAAGGAAUUGACGGAAGGGCACCACCAGGAGUGGAGCUUGCGGCUUAAUUUGACUCAACACAGAAAAACUCACCCGGGCCGAACACAAUGGUGAUUGACAGAUUGAUAGCUCUUUCUUGAUAUUGUGAGUAGUGGUGCAUGGCCGUUGUUGGUUGGUGGAGUGAUUUGUCUGGUUUAUUCCGAUAACGAACGAGACUCUGACCUACUUAUUAGUAGUUAGAUUCAUGUCUAACAACUACUAAGAGGGAUUAGUGUAAAAAACACUUGAAAAAGAGCAAUAACAGGUCUGUGAUUGCCCUUAGACGUUCGGGGCCGCACGCGUGCUACAAUAAAGAAGUCAAUGGGAGUCUCGCUUGUCAGAGCGAGCUUCGCCUAAAAAUUUCUUUGUGGCAGGAAUCGAGGCUUGUAAUUAUUCCUCGUGCACAAGGAAUUCCUAGUAAUUGCAGAUCAUUAGUCUGCAGUGACUACGUCCCUGCCCUUUGUACACACCGCCCGUCGCUACUACCGAUGAAUGAUUUGGUGAGGUUGUUGUAUCGCUUGCUUCAGCUUGCGAGUAGGCACCCGAGCCUAAUUAUUUAAAGGAAGUAAAAGUCGUAACAAGGUUUCUGUAAGUGAACCUGCAGAAGGAUCAA